rnacentral:rRNA from 1 species
AGGUGUAGCGGUGAAAUGCGUAGAGAUCUGGAGGAAUACCGGUGGCGAAGGCGGCCCCCUGGACAAAGACUGACGCUCAGGUGCGAAAGCGUGGGGAGCAAACAGGAUUAGAUACCCUGGUAGUCCACGCCGUAAACGAUGUCGACUUGGAGGUUGUGCCCUUGAGGCGUGGCUUCCGGAGCUAACGCGUUAAGUCGACCGCCUGGGGAGUACGGCCGCAAGGUUAAAACUCAAAUGAAUUGACGGGGGCCCGCACAAGCGGUGGAGCAUGUGGUUUAAUUCGAUGCAACGCGAAGAACCUUACCUA